rnacentral:misc_RNA from 1 species
GAUGAAGAACGCAGCGAAUUGCGAUAUGUAAUGUGAAUUGCAGAAUUCAGUGAAUCAUCGAAUCUUUGAACGCACAUUGCACCCUCUGGUAUUCCGGAGGGUAUGCCUGUUUGAGUGUCAUGAAUAUGUCAACGCAGACCAGUCUUGCAUGACUCGCACUGCUGCUUGGACGUUGAAGGCUUGCUGGCGUUGAAAUAAUACGUCUGCUCCUUUUAAAUUCAUGAGCAAGGGGAACUAUGCAGCACCGGCUUCAGUUUGAUAAGAUUGAACUGUGCCCUACUGCCCGUGUGCCCAUGCUUCUAAUCGUCCCGAGAAUCCGGGACUGUCUCGAUCGAGGCAUUCGCUUUUGACCACUUGGCCUCAAAUCAGGUAGGACUACCCGCUGAACUUAAGCAUAUCAAUAAGCGGAGGA